GACAUGUACUUUACUAUUCAAUUCUUUAUAUAUAUAUAUAAUUAUAUAAUAUAUAUAUAAUAUUAUAAAGCAAGUAAAGCUUCUGCCUAAUCUUCUGGUACGUCGUAAUCUCCUUGGACCCACUUGACAUAGCCAAAUCCUCUCCUUGGAGACAGAAACUAUGGGACUUCGAGGCGGACUCAGCUACGAUCGCCGCAUCUACCUCUGAUCCUACAGUACAAAUGCCAAUAAAAAGAUUCAAGCAAUCUCGAGAAGGAUCGCACACCUCCGGAUUUGAGGGAAGGAAGAGCAGGGCAAAGCCGCCUUCGGAUUGCAAGGAGGGAGAGGAAGGGAGGAGCCGCCACCUGCUACGAGCAGCAACGUGGACGACGAAGGAUACCGAAGUCGAGGAUGAGCAGCAAUUGUAGGAUGCCUGCUUCUGCUCGUGUGCGUUGACCUCCUGCCCACGGGGACUCUGUCCUCGAUCCGUUUGCAACGAAUCUAGAGGAGCACGGCGGCAGGAGCAAUCGCCAGUGGUGGCGCGGCGCUCUCCGCUCGGGGCCUCUCGGUCUCUCUCCCAUAUACGAUUUGGUUCGGAUAAGGUGGGUGGUGACGGGAGGAUAAAAAUUUACUGUGAGCUCCAAGUGAGAAAGAAUAUUUUUUUUACCUGUACACGAA
rnacentral:lncRNA from 1 species